rnacentral:rRNA from 1 species
UGUGUAGGCGGUGCUCUAAGUCUGUUGUGAAAUCUCCCGGCUCAACUGGGAGGGUGCGGCGGAAACUGGAGUGCUCGAGGGAUGGAGAGGUAAGCGGAAUUCCUGGUGUAGCGGUGAAAUGCGUAGAUAUCAGGAGGAACACCUGUGGUGUAGACAGCUUACUGGACAUCUUCUGACGCUGAGACACGAAAGCGUGGGUAGCAAACAGGAUUAGAUACCCUGGUAGUCCACGCCCUAAACGAUGCAUACUUGGUGUGAGCCAUUCAUUUGGUUCGUGCCGGAGCUAACGCGUUAAGUAUGCCGCCUGGGGAGCACGGUCGCAAGGCUAGAA